rnacentral:rRNA from 1 species
ACGCUGGCGGCGUGCUUAACACAUGCAAGUCGAACGAUGAAGCCUAGCUUGCUAGGUGGAUUAGUGGCGAACGGGUGAGUAAUACGUGAGUAACCUACCUUUAACUCUGGGAUAGGCCUGGGAAACUGGGUCUAAUACCGGAUACGACCAAUCUCCGCAUGGGGUGUUGGUGGAAAGCGUUAUGUAGUGGUUAUAGAUGGGCUCACGGCCUAUCAGCUUGUUGGUGAGGUAACGGCUCACCAAGGCGACGACGGGUAGCCGGCCUGAGAGGGUGACCGGCCACACUGGGACUGAGACACGGCCCAGACUCCUACGGGAGGCAGCAGUGGGGAAUAUUGCACAAUGGGCGCAAGCCUGAUGCAGCGACGCCGCGUGAGGGAUGACGGCCUUCGGGUUGUAAACCUCUGUUAGCAGGGAAGAAGAGAAAUUGACGGUACCUGCAGAGAAAGCGCCGGCUAACUACGUGCCAGCAGCCGCGGUAAUACGUAGGGCGCGAGCGUUGUCCGGAAUUAUUGGGCGUAAAGAGCUUGUAGGCGGUUUGUCGCGUCUGCUGUGAAAGGCCGGGGCUUAACCCCGUGUAUUGCAGUGGGUACGGGCAGACUAGAGUGCAGUAGGGGAGACUGGAAUUCCUGGUGUAGCGGUGGAAUGCGCAGAUAUCAGGAGGAACACCGAUGGCGAAGGCAGGUCUCUGGGCUGUAACUGACGCUGAGAAGCGAAAGCAUGGGGAGCGAACAGGAUUAGAUACCCUGGUAGUCCAUGCCGUAAACGUUGGGCACUAGGUGUGGGGGACAUUCCACGUUUUCCGCGCCGUAGCUAACGCAUUAAGUGCCCCGCCUGGGGAGUACGGCCGCAAGGCUAAAACUCAAAGAAAUUGACGGGGGCCCGCACAAGCGGCGGAGCAUGCGGAUUAA